UACAGAGGUCUCAAGCGUUGUUCGGAUUCAUUGGGCGUAAAGCGUGCGCAGGCGGUUUUGUAAGCCAGAUGUGAAAUCCCCGGGCUCAACCUGGGAAUGGCAUUUGGGACUGCAAGGCUCGAGUUUGGCAGAGGAGACUGGAAUUCCUGGUGUAGCAGUGAAAUGCGUAGAUAUCAGGAGGAAUACCGAUGGCGAAGGCAGGUCUCUGGGCUGAAACUGACGCUCAUGCACGAAAGCGUGGGGAGCAAACAGG
rnacentral:rRNA from 1 species